GACGAACGCUGGCGGCGUGCUUAACACAUGCAAGUCGAACGCUGAAGCUCAGCUUUUGUUGGGUGGAUGAGUGGCGAACGGGUGAGUAACACGUGAGUAACCUGCCCCCUUCUUUGGGAUAACGCCCGGAAACGGGUGCUAAUACUGGAUAUUCACUGGUCUUCGCAUGGGGGUUGGUGGAAAGGGUUUUUCUGGUGGGGGAUGGGCUCGCGGCCUAUCAGCUUGUUGGUGGGGUGAUGGCCUACCAAGGCUUUGACGGGUAGCCGGCCUGAGAGGGUGACCGGUCACAUUGGGACUGAGAUACGGCCCAGACUCCUACGGGAGGCAGCAGUGGGGACUAUUGCACAAUGGGCGCAAGCCUGAUGCAGCGGCGCCGCGUGAGGGAUGGAGGCCUUCGGGUUGUGAACCUCUUUCGCUCAUGGUCAAGCCGCAACAAUGGUUGUGGUGAGGGUAGUGGGUAAAGAAGCGCCGGCUAACUACGUG
rnacentral:rRNA from 1 species